AUGUUAGUUGUUUUGAAAAAUUUUCAUCAGCCGCUGCUGGAGAUACGGAGCUCAUAUACACUGAUAUCUCUCCUGAGAAAAAGGAUGAAAAUAAGACAACAGAAUCGCUGCCAGCUGCUGAAGAGGAAUACGCCUCAGUCCGACCGCAGACAAAGAGGAAGAAGAAGAAGGAGGAGGAAGAGUAGUCCAGAACUGCGAGGUGACGUUCACUCCGAACCAUUCAGUCGCUCCACAGCAGCCUCAGGAGGAGUGUGUUUAUGCGCAGGCACAAAGACGCUAGUCUCACAAUAACAAGAUCGCACUUUACCUGGACCACCAAGUGCUUUUUUCACUUAUGUUCAAUAACUCAAUGAUCACGAAAACAGCAGAUUUUGAAUCAAUAAAACAUUUCAAAGCAGCUGAAGUUCA
ensembl:lncRNA